rnacentral:tRNA from 2 species
CGGGGCGUAGCGCAGCUUGGUUAGCGCGCGUGAAUUGGGAUCACGAGGUCCCCGGUUCAAAUCCGGGCGCCCCGACCA